AGACUUCGUUACAUCCCCCCUGGUUCGGAAAAAUUCAAGUUACGGUGAAACAGAAAUUUGAAUUCUAAAAACAAACAAAAAAAAAAAAAAAUAACCGAAUACUAUCCUGUCUUAUUACGCGGGAUAUAUGGGAAGUACGGGUCUGACUGUUACGUUACGCUAUCAAAGACUAUAAUGUUGUAGUAGACAGUAUGACAUAUAAAAAUAAAACUUUGCUCUAUGAAUCGAUGUCAAAUUCAAACGUCGUCUUCUUUCUUCUGUCAUCCGGGGUGAUUUGAAUGUUUGGAAAUUUCUUCAUCUCGGGGUUGUGAAGUAGAACUCAUUCCCAUUUCCAUGAAGUUUCCAAGUGUCGGUGAAAUAAUCUGAUGUCAGGUGUGGAUUAUCCCAUUCUCCGAGGGACGUCGAAGUUCCCACUCAGAUGAGUCGAAACCAUUCCAAACCCAUUGAUAUACUGGUUGAUUUACCUGUGGAUAUUACAAGGAAUCAGUGACUGUAUGGUGAAAUUUUCAGAACGGUGAAAAUUCUUCCAGUUAUACAGUUUAAAUUAUCUAUAGGAAAAUUGAAAUGGAAUCCAAAUGUCCACCAGAGUAAUGAUUGACAGGCCAUGAUGUCCAACUCUUCUAGUACUUCUUCCUUGGAUGAUGACAUGAAUAAAUCUUCAGGAAUCACUGAUUACAUGUCUUCGGUGGAAUUGGGCUUACAGCUGAUCAUCCGAUGAAAGGUGUGUUGCCUAUCUCCAGCAUUUAUUCUCAUCGGUGUUGCAGUAUGGGAGACCUGGGCAGUUGGCAGUGGGAGUUCAUCAUCUUCCAAAUCUAUCAGUGAUGUCUUCAGUUGUGCAACCUUGGUUGGUUGAAUGGGAGACAUCUCAGGCGACUGUGGAAUCUCUGCCUCCA